CGAGUGAAGCGGCAAAAGCUCAAAUUUGAAAUCUGGUACCUUCGGUGCCCGAGUUGUAAUUUGGAGAGGGCAACUUUGGGGCCGUUCCUUGUCUAUGUUCCUUGGAACAGGACGUCAUAGAGGGUGAGAAUCCCGUGUGGCGAGGAGUGCGGUUCUUUGUAAAGUGCCUUCGAAGAGUCGAGUUGUUUGGGAAUGCAGCUCUAAGUGGGUGGUAAAUUCCAUCUAAAGCUAAAUAUUGGCGAGAGACCGAUAGCGAACAAGUACAGUGAUGGAAAGAUGAAAAGAACUUUGAAAAGAGAGUGAAAAAGUACGUGAAAUUGUUGAAAGGGAAGGGCAUUUGAUCAGACAUGGUGUUUUGUGCCCUCUGCUCCUUGUGGGUAGGGGAAUCUCGCAUUUCACUGGGCCAGCAUCAGUUUUGGUGGCAGGAUAAAUCCAUAGGAAUGUAGCUUGCCUCGGUAAGUAUUAUAGCCUGUGGGAAUACUGCCAGCUGGGACUGAGGACUGCGACGUAAGUCAAGGAUGCUGGCAUAAUGGUUAUAUGCCGCCCGUCUUGAAACACGGACCAAGGAGUCUAACGUCUAUGAGUGUUUGGGUGUAAAACCCAUACGCGUAAUGAAAGUGAACGUAGGUUGGGGCCUCGCAAGAUGCACAAUCGACCGAUCCUGAUGUCUUCGGAUGGAUUUGAGUAAGAGCAUAGCUGUUGGGACGAAAGAUGGUGAACUAUGCCUGAAUAGGGUGAAGCCAGAGGAAACUCUGGUGGAGGCUCGUA
rnacentral:rRNA from 1 species